GAUGAACGCUGGCGGCGUGCUUAACACAUGCAAGUCGAACGGGAAACCUUUUAUUGAAGCUUCGGCAGAUUUAGCUGGUUUCUAGUGGCGGACGGGUGAGUAACGCGUGGGUAACCUGCCCUAUACAGGGGGAUAACAACCAGAAAUGGUUGCUAAUACCGCAUAAGCGCACAGGGCCGCAUGGUCCGGUGUGAAAAACUCCGGUGGGAUAGGAUGGACCCGCGUUGGAUUAGCCAGUUGGCAGGGUAACGGCCUACCAAAGCGACGAUCCAUAGCCGGCCUGAGAGGGUGAACGGCCACAUUGGGACUGAGACGCGGCCCAGACUCCUACGGGAGGCAGCAGUGGGGAAUAUUGCACAGUGGGGGAAACCCUGAUGCAGCGACGCCGCGUGAAGGAAGAAGUAUCUCGGUAUGUAAACUUCUAUCAGCAGGGAAGAUAGUGACGGUACCUGACUAAGAAGCCCCGGCUAACUACGUG
rnacentral:rRNA from 1 species